rnacentral:misc_RNA from 1 species
AAUUCUCAAAUCUUAUUUGGUUUUUGACCAAGUGAGACUUGGAUGUGGAAGUUGCAGGCCUCUCUUUUCAAAGAGGGUCAGCUCUUCUUAAAUGCAUUAGCAGAAGUUUUUAUUGGCUUUGGUGUGAUAAUUAUCUACAUCAUGGUCAGAAUGACUUUGUUCUGCUUUAUAAUAAUUUUGUCUUUUGGACAAGAAAAUAUUUGAAA